GUUAUGGGGUGGCUAUGGGGCACAGGGGCGGUUAUGGGGUGGUUGUGGGGCAGUUAUGGGGCACAGGCGGUGGCUAUGGGGCAGUUGUGGGGUUCCUAUGGGGUCGCUAUGGGGCACAGUGGUUCCUAUGGGGUCCCUACAGGGUCUCUGUGGGAUCUCAGUGUGUCCUUAUGGGGUCCUUAUGGGGUCCUUAUGGGGUUUUGUGGGGCCGGCCUGCAGCCAUGGGGGAGCCGAGCGACCUGGGUCCCUAUCGGGUCCCUAUGGGUUCCUAUGGGGUUCUGUGGGUCCUUAUGGGGUUUUAUGGGAUUCUACGGGUCCCUAUGGGUCCCUACGGGUCUAUGGGUCCUUAUGGGGUCGUUAUGGGGUCGUUAUGGGGCCGUUUUGGGGCUGCCCUGCAGCGAUGGGGGAGCCGAGCGACCUGGGUCCCUAUGUGUUUCCUAUGGGUCCCUAUGGGUCCUUAUGGGGGUUCUAUGGGUCCCUAUGGGUCUGUGUGUCCCUAUGGGUCCCUAUGGGUCCUUAUGGGGUCGUUAUGGGGCCGUUUUGGGGCCGCCCUGCAGCCAUGGGGGAGCCGAGCGACCUGGGUUCCUAUGGGGUCCCUAUGGUUUGCUACAGGUUCCUACAGGUUCUAUGGGGUUUUAUGGGGUCCUUAUGGGGUUCUAUGGGUCUGUGGGUCCCUAUGGGUCCUUAUGGGGUCGUUAUGGGGUCGUUAUGGGGCCAUUUUGGGGCCGGCCUG
rnacentral:lncRNA from 1 species